AUUGAACGCUGGCGGCAUGCCUUACACAUGCAAGUCGAACGGCAGCACGGGUGCUUGCACCUGGUGGCGAGUGGCGAACGGGUGAGUAAUACAUCGGAACGUACCUUAUCGUGGGGGAUAACGCAGCGAAAGUUGCGCGAAUAACGCAUACGCCCUGAGGGGGAAAGCGGGGGACCGUAAGGCCUCGCGCGAUUAGAGCGGCCGAUGUCUGAUUAGCUUGUUGGUGAGGUAAAAGCUCACCAAGGCGAUGAUCAGUAGCUGGUCUGAGAGGACGAUCAGCCACACUGGGACUGAGACACGGCCCAGACUCCUACGGUAGGCAGCAGUGGGGAAUUUUGGACAAUGGGGGCAACCCUGAUCCAGCAAUGCCGCGUGAGUGAAGAAGGCCUUCGGGUUGUAAAGCUCUUUUGUCAGGGAAGAAACAGCAGCUCUAACACAGUCUGCGAAUGACGGUACCUGAAGAAUAAGCACCGGCUAACUACGUGCCAGCCGCCGCCGUAA
rnacentral:rRNA from 1 species